rnacentral:lncRNA from 1 species
UCUAAUUCUGAACUUUUAAUCACAUCAGAAAAAAUGUGUCUGUUUGCUUAAAACUUUGUUAGGUUUUCCAUUACAUGCAACAGACCUCAUUUCUCCAUGAUAAAACUGUCAAAGGUUAGAACCCAAAUUCCUAGACGUGUUGAGAGCUUUCAUAAGUUCACCACUACAGAUAUCUCCAGCCUCAGGUUCCAAAAUUCUGCACCUGAUUCUUUGUUCUAAACCAUCCAUUCUGCAAAUUACAUAACAAUGGAAAACCAGCAUGUUCUUUUAAAGUUAUGAUUUUGUUUAAAUAAGCUUGGAAAACUCUGACUUCUGUACUCUUCUGGAAAUGUAGAAUAAAUAUGGGUACAUAGAAUCUGGGAAGUUUUUCAGUUAAAGAAACUUGAAUGCUUUCAGCUACAUGUUUUCUUAACGCAUUUGACCACAGAAUUCUUAUUCAAGUAACCCUUUGUAUCAAUACUCAGUAUAAACGUAAUGGGAGCAAUGUAUUGUGAAAUGCUGUGUCUAAGCCCAAGAGAUUUCUCAGUCUCCUAAACGUGCCUUUUCUCUUCACUUCAAGGAUGUGUUCAGUGUCACUGCUCCAUCUGAAGGCCCAUGUUGACUUGUCUUCACCUGACACACUGCUCCUCGUCACAUACGAACUUGUUCUGGUGAAGACACAGGAUUGAGGGCACCCUCAAGAGCCAAGCCUGAUUUUACAAAUAAUCUUGGAAUUGUUUUAGGAGUGGAUAUUUUGGUGGAUAGUACAUGAGGUACAUAAAUGCUGCCUACAAUUCAAAAUUCCUAAAACCAUACAGGACUGAGCCAGGAAAUUGAAGUUUUACCCAAAUUGUAUUAGAACAAGGAAGAAAGCCAAGUAAAUAUCUGUGCGAUGAAAUUUCUGGAAAAAGAAAGGAGGUCUGGAGAUAAAAAAAAUUAUUUUCUCAAAAAGAGAAGAAGCCGUAGAAAGGCCCUGAGAAACAGAAAAGGAGAACAGGCAAGGGCAAGAAAAAAAUGGAGUAUGAUUUUGGCUGAAGUUAUCCAUUCUGACUUUCAAGGAGAAGUGUGGUUGCUGCUACAGAAUGUCAGUGGUGCUAAUGUUGGCAUCUAGAGGUGCCUUCCCAGUGAUGCCUCUGAAUUCAGCUGAAGCAUCCAUAGUUCUAUUCCUCAAGGAAACAUUCUGGAGGGAGAUUUGGUUAUUCUUAGAUAUGUGGAAAGCACCCUUCGCAGCCAUUGGUUGCUACUAUGAAAAUGUUCUCAAUAAAUUUCUUUUGUGUUUAUUUUAGCCA